CCCUUAGAUGUUCUGGGCCGCACGCGCGCUACACUGAUGGAUUCAACGAGUGUUGUUCUUCGGAGCAGAUCCUUGGUCGGAAGGCCUGGGCAAUCUUGUAAAUGUCCAUCGUGAUGGGGCUAGAUUUUUGCAAUUCUGAAUCUCCAACGAGGAAUUCCUAGUAAACGCAAGUCAUCAGCUUGCAUUGAAUACGUCCCUGCCCUUUGUACACACCGCCCGUCGCUCCUACCGAUUGAGUGGUCCGGUGAGGCUUUGGGAUCUGAGCGGAAAGAGCGUUUCGCUGUUUCUGCUCGGAAAACUCAGUCGAACCUUAUCAUUUAGAGGAAGGAGAAGUCGUAACA
rnacentral:rRNA from 1 species